rnacentral:rRNA from 1 species
AUUGAACGCUGGCGGCAUGCCUUACACAUGCAAGUCGAACGGUAACAGGUCUUCGGAUGCUGACGAGUGGCGAACGGGUGAGUAAUACAUCGGAACGUGCCUAGUAGUGGGGGAUAACUACUCGAAAGAGUGGCUAAUACCGCAUGAGAUCUACGGAUGCAAGCAGGGGACGGCAAGACCUUGUGCUUAUAGAGCGGCAGAUGGCAGAUUAGGUAGUUGGUGGGAUAAAAGCUUACCAAGCCGACGAUCUGUAGCUGGUCUGAGAGGACGAUCAGCCACACUGGGACUGAGACACGGCCCAGACUCCUACGGGAGGCAGCAGUGGGGAAUUUUGGACAAUGGGCGCAAGCCUGAUCCAGCAAUGCCGCGUGCAGGAUGAAGGCCUUCGGGUUGUAAACUGCUUUUGUACGGAACGAAAAGCCCUGGGUUAAUACCCUGGGGUCAUGACGGUACCGUAAGAAUAAGCACCGGCUAACUACGUGCCAGCAGCCGCAGUAACAC